GUCGAGAAUCUUUCACAAUGGGGGCAACCCUGAUGGAGCGACGCCGCGUGGAGGAUAAGGUCUUCGGAUUGUAAACUCCUGUCAUGCGUGAACAAGGUUGCUUGGUUAAUACCUGGGCAAAUUGAUGGUAACGCAAGAGGAAGAGACGGCUAACUCUGUGCCAGCAGCCGCGGUAAUACAGAGGUCUCAAGCGUUGUUCGGAAUCACUGGGCGUAAAGGGUGCGUAGGUGGCGUGGUAAGUCAGAUGUGAAAGCCCGGGGCUCAACCUCGGAACUGCAGCCGAUACUGCCAUGCUAGAGUACUGGAGAGGUGACUAGAAUUCUCGGUGUAGCAGUGAAAUGCGUAGAUAUCGAGAGGAAUACCAAAGGCGUAGGCAGGUCACUGGACAGUUACUGACACUGAGGCACGAAGGCCAGGGGAGCGAACGGGAUUAGAAACCCUGGUAGUCC
rnacentral:rRNA from 1 species